AAUGAACGUUGGCGGCAUGGAUUAGGCAUGCAAGUCGAGCGAGAAGAGUUUUGAAGCUUGCUUUAGAACUCGGACAGCGGCGAAAGGGAGAGUAACGCGUAGUUAUGUGCCCUAGGGUCCGGAAUAGCCACGGGAAACUGUGGGUAAUGCCGGAUAAUAUCCCCGGAUCAAAGGUGUGAUUCCGCCCUAGGAGCAGACUGCGUCCUACUAGCUAGUUGGUGGGGUAAUGGCCCACCAAGGCAAUGAUGGGGAGCGGGUGGGAGAGCAUGACCCGUCUCACGGGGACUGAGACACUGCCCAGACACCUACGGGUGGCUGCAGUCGAGAAUCUUCGGCAAUGGGCGAAAGCCUGACCGAGCGAUGCCGCGUGCGGGAUGAAGGCCCUCGGGUUGUAAACCGCUGUCGUAGGGGAGGAAGGUUCCGUGAAGAGCGGGACUUGACCUAUCCUAGGAGGAAGUACGGGCUAAGUUCGUGCCAGCCGCCGCGGUAA
rnacentral:rRNA from 1 species